CGCGAAGAACCUUACCAGGCCUUGACAUCCAAUGAACUUUCCAGAGAUGGAUUGGUGCCUUCGGGAGCAUUGAGACAGGUGCUGCAUGGCUGUCGUCAGCUCGUGUCGUGAGAUGUUGGGUUAAGUCCCGUAACGAGCGCAACCCUUGUCCUUAGUUACCAGCACGUAAUGGUGGGCACUCUAAGGAGACUGCCGGUGACAAACCG
rnacentral:rRNA from 1 species